UGCCUUUGUGUUGCUCAUUCAUUUUUAAGUGGUGAAUGUGGUGUCUGAAAAGGCAUAUAUAAAUUCCAUGUGUGGCCUUAGUAAGGAUUUCAGUGGAAUUUCCUUAGGUGGCAUGCAUCUGGAACAGUC